GGUCACAGCUUCUCUGUUUUCACUCUGCCGUGGAGCUGAUCAUACUGAAAGGAUCCGUCUUUAUUCUGUCUGCGCUGCUUUGUUAUAUUAAACAAACGUUUCUGUUCACAUCGUUCAAAGUGUUCAGGACAGUUUAACUUUAAGCAUCAGCCCGGAGCUCCUGCUUUUAUUCUGGCGGGCUCCGGUGUUAGCUCGUCCCGUUAGCCGCUGCUCCGCUGCUCGGUGGACAGUGAUGACCGCUGAGACACUUUUUCUUUCUGCGCAUUUCGACUGUUGAUUAAAACCGGAGAGCCUCCGUUCAUCAUGGCGAGUGAAAACACCGAGACCAACGCGGGGAACGAGGAGGAAACUGGUCCUCCAUCCGAGACUAACGAGCACGACUAUGCCCACACCGAGGCCACUAACUUAACUUCCACGGAAGCAUCCUCCCCCUCGGGAGCACCGGCGGCGGACGAAGGAGUCUCCGCGCAGGAAAGCUUCACCACAGCAGCCGAACCUGAACCUGAGCCCGAGCACAGCACACCGGGGCAGCCCACCCUGCCGGUGGAGCUUCCCGAUCCGGCUGUGGGUGCGGAGGUGGACUGCCCCGGCGGGCAUGAUGUGGUGGUGUCUUUUCCGCCGCAGACCGAGGAAAACCCUCCAAAGGCAGACCCCUCUCAGUAUGCUACAGCCGUCGCCCCCGCUAUGCGAGGCGGCCGGCGGCGUCCCAAGCGGCCCGAGGACCGGAGCUGCUCCGCCUGUAAGUCUGAGUUCGAGCGGCAGGGCCGCAGCUUCAACCGGAGGGCGGUGUACACCUUCUCCAGCCCGGAGACUGUGCAGUGGGCCUUCCCGGACGCCGUAGUACACGAAAAGUCGUUCCUGUGUGAGACCUGUGCGCAGGUCAUCAGGAGCAAAUGCAAACGCAAACAGAGCGGGAAGCGGACCCUGUGGCUGAAACCGCCCCAGACUAAACAGGCAGAGUUGAGAGACAAGAAGCUGAAAGGUCGCAGGAUGGGGAAGAAGAGCAAAGCAGCUCAGCUGGUGAGCAAGUCCUGCUACAAGGCCGCUUUCAAAAUGCUCUGGUCUGCUAAAGGUGCCCGGAAGCCCAUGAUGGAGUUCUGGAGCAAACAACUGAAAGAGGAGAUGAAGGCGCUGACACGGCAGACAGACAAUCCCUUCCAUCAGAAGGUGGUGAGCAGAAAGCCACUGUCAUCCUUUCCCUGGCGGCGCUGUCUGAACUGGGCCCAGGACCACGCUCCUCUUGUCACCACCUGCCUCACCUCGCUGUUCCCUGACAUCAGUUCUCUUUCAAAGAGUGGCCACCCGCUGUCGGAGGACCAAGCCCAGGCGUUGCUGGAGCGCAGGGCCGUGGUGGCGCUCUCCAUCCCUCUCUUCACCAGGAACAUCUGGAAGAACAACUUCCUGCAGGCAGCUCUGGGGGCAGAGCUCCGGCUGCAGGGCUGCUCUGGUGCUGCUCUUGACGCCCUCAACACUAUGGGGCUGUGUCAGAACAAAGACACCGUCAGGUUGCUGCUGCACAGGCUCCGAAACAGCAAGAAGACGGCAACACAGAACGGACGACAGAUGAAGAUGAAACCGGAGCAGAUGAAAGGAGAGGAUAUGACAGACGUGGAGGAAGAAGAUAUCGAGGAGGAGGACGAAGAGGAGGAGGAGGAGGAGGAAGAGGAGGAAGAAGAAGAGGAAGAGGAGGAUGACGAUGACGACGAAGAAGAGGAGGAGGAGGAAAUGGAAAUGGUGGUAGAGGAGGAAGAAGUGCAAGAGGUAGAAGUGCAGGUUGGAGUGGAUGAGGAGGAAGCGGAGGAUCAAUCAGUGGAGGAGAAGAAGAGGAGGAGGAAGAAGGCGAAGAAGCAGAGGAAGGAGGAGAAGAGGAAGGAGCGAGGGAAACGAAAGGUGAAGGAGAGGGAGGAGGUGGACGAGGAGGAGGAUGACGGGUCAGAGCAGAAGAAGAGGAGGGUGGUGGUGGUGAGGCUCGGCCUGCUGAAGGGACACUCGGAGGUUGGACGGUCCGACCUGUCGGCUCCUUAAGACUCUGAAGGCUCCGCCCAAGAACUCCACAGGCCCCACCUUCAACCAGAGAGCAGGACAGAGGUCCCGCCCUUUUCGCUGGGGGAUGUUGAGAGGGAUUCUGGGUAUCGUAGCUUUCAGUUUUGGGUUCCUCGGCAGGACUCUGACACAAAGUAAAGAAACAGAAAACGGUUUGAUUUUCAUUCUGAACACUGUGGACGUCCUGAACUGUGGAGGAUGUUUAUAGACUGAAGAUGUGCAUUUCUAUGUUUGAAACGGUUAAAGCGGAGCGGAGGCACACCUGAGAAAAGGACCUGGACUUAAUCGCUUUGUUUUUUUUUUUGUUUUUUUUUAUUGUUUGUUUGUUGGCUGUAGUGAACCCAUCAGAACAGAGUCAUGGCUUCAGUAGGCUCAUCUGACGCACGCCGAGGCCUUUAUGCUGCGUUCACGUCAAGUUUCUGUGAUUACAGUUGGUCAUGUGAGGGUUAAAAAUACUGUCCGUUGACAAUAUCAAACUAUAAACAUUAAAUAAAACAGACUUUGACUGACGAUAGGUGUCCAUGUAAGUUUGGCUUUCAGACACUUGCAAAUUAUUAAGCACCUGCUAUAUCAAAGAUUUCAGAAAAAUCAGUUUUCUAGUCAUCAUGAUCCAGACGUUCACUUUAAUGCUUUUUACAAGUAAUACAACUGUUAAUUACAAUAACAGUAACAGUAGUGUGGAGAAACAAAUAGAUACGACUCAUUUGUGAACUCUGAGGAAAAUUGUGAACUAUCUGAGAUAAAUCUUGUCAAAAAUCUGAUUUAAAAAAUGACUAAAAUCAGACUUUCCUUGGAAUUCAGAAACUGAAUGUUUUCUUUGUAGUGCUUUAUUUUAUAGUCUGUAAUUUCCCUAAUAAUUUAACUGAAAUGACUGUAAUGUAAUGUGGUAUAAUUACAGUGAAAACAGUGUUUAAUUUAACCCUUUGAAACCCCUUUAAAAAACAUGGGUAAAAGGCAAUGAAAGAAAAAAUUAGCGAAAAAAUUAGCAAGACAUACCGUAAGUAAAAAGAGAAAAUUAAGAAAAUUAGUAAAAAAAUAAAUAAAAUAAAAAAAGUUAAAGAAAAGUAAAAAAAAAAAAAAGUGUAAAAAGUGCUUAAAAUUUUAAUAAUUUUGCAUUAUGAUGUUAAAAACUAUAAAUCUAGUUUUUCCCUAGUUUGUCUUUUUAAAUAAUUUUCUAUCUUUUUUUUUCUUUCUUUUUUACAAUUUGUGGGAGAUUUCUUACCAAGUUGCUCAUUGCCUUUUUUCCCAUGUUUUUUUUUUUUUUUUUUUUUUUUUUUUACUGCAGCAAUUUGCAAAAGGUUCAAAACUUAAAAUACUUGUGAAGGUGUCUGAAAUCAGCACAAGACAAGUGAUGUCGCUCCAGGUUUCAAAGGCUUAAAUACUUUGAAUCCUGGCUCAUGUAUCAAUGUCAGCCGGACAUGGGAGAAGAACAUGGAAGUGAAACUUGUCUACAGACGUAUGGAGAUAAAAGUCUCCACUUUUGUCCUAUAAUUAGAACCAGAUUACAAAGUUCCUUCUGAGAAAUUAUCAGGAAAUUAAGGAGCCCUUAAAAUAAAGUGUUAAAUGAUCCUUUUCUGUGGUUUGAAUAAUUCCACCAUCUGUAAAAACGCAGCCAUACGUUUCUCUCCUGGUUAGAAAAAGAUGAAAUGGAAGUUUCUGAACUGGGAGGUGCUGUAAUAUAGUUUUGAUUUGUAACAAGGGUUUGUUCUUUGAGUCUCUCAAAGCGUCUUAUUUUUUUAUGUGUUUGAUUGGAGGAGGAUGGAGAGAUGUGUUUUCUGACUGUUGGUCUCAGAUCUGAUGUUCAACCAGUUGAACCAGUCUGACGCAAAACUUCCUGUAAAAGUUUGCCAAUAAAACAUUUAAGGCUUCAAC